UAUCCAACAGGCUUUGUGACCUCACCAAUCAAACAUUAAAGCAUUAUACAAUAAAAAGCUGCAUUAAAGUGAGUUUACUUCAGUUAAAGACCAUGACGUUGGCUUUGAGGUUGUGUGCUGUCAAGUUAAAUUUGUCAUGUAGUGUUAAUGUGUGUUGUUCUUUUUGCUUUGUGUCCAGUGCAUUAUUAAAUGACUUGUGCUCAUGUUCCUCUGUGUGUUAACGCAGAGAGAAGCUUUACCUCUAUGCUCCGGAGCGGUGGUCGUCCGCCUGUGUGGAGCCUCGAGGUGUUGUGGUCUGGAAUACGGUUCUUUUCUCCGUCCUCAUGGCAGCAAGUGGCCUUGAGCUCGCUUUCUGCGUUCUUCAUCUCCUCGCCGCCUUACUGGAGUUCAUGUGUGGACCGAGAUUCCGCAAGAAUAAGGUUGUUCCUGCUUGAAAAGACUCGAGGUUCUAUUAUUUUCAUCUCCAUGUGAGAGUGAGAAUGCCAUUUUGGGUUAAACAGUCAGCUCCGACUGCUUAACUUAUUUUAAACACAGAGGAAAAAAAUAGAAAUGGGAAGUGGAUCAGAAAAGGCAAUGUCACUGUCCCUGAUGUGUGUUACUGCACUGUCACACACACGUCCAGUCUUCCUGUAGUUCAGCUGCUUGAGAGUGACACUAGUGGUGGUAAACUUUGAAUCCCAGAAACCCUUGAACAGAUUAAACACUCUGAAUAACCUACUAAACUCACACAAACUAAUAAGCUGUUUAAAUUAUUCUUUAUUGUCAUAUAUAUUCAGAAUGCACUUUAAUAUUUAUGCACUGUAUGUGUGUGUAAUUUAAUGUAUGAUGUGUGUAUGUGAUAAAAUACUGGGUUAUUUUUUAGAUGUUAUUUUAUUGUUUUAUUUCUACUAGAUUAAAAAACUAAUCGUAUGAACACUUCAUUGUGUAAAGGAAAGCAUUAUUCACUAAAUUCCACUAAACUGUGUUUAUUUAAAUGAAAUAUACAAGCAGCACACUUGUCAAGAAAAAUGAAUUUAUCCUAAUGGCCACAAGAGGGAGACAUUUAUAUUUCUUCUCCAUCUUUACUCUCCUAGGAGAAAAUAACUUUUUAUUAUUAUUAAUAAAUUAAGAACUAAAAUGAUUUUAUUUCA
ensembl:lncRNA